ACUCCUACGGGAGGCAGCAGUGGGGAAUAUUGCACAAUGGGGGAAGCCCAUCGAUGCAGCCAUGCCGCGUGUGUGAAGAAGGCCUUCGGGUUGUAAAGACACUUUUCAGUAGGGAGGAAGGUAGUGUAGUUAACACCUGCAUUAUUUGACGUUACCUACAGAAGAAGCACCGGCUAACUCCGUGCCAGCAGCCGCGGUAAUACGGAGGGUGCAAGCGUUAAUCGGAAUUACUGGGCGUAAAGCGUGCGCAGGCGGUCUGUUAAGCGAGAUGUGAAAGCCCCGG
rnacentral:rRNA from 1 species